rnacentral:rRNA from 1 species
UACGAAGGGGGCUAGCGUUGCUCGGAAUGACUGGGCGUAAAGGGCGCGCAGGCGGAUUGUACAGUCAGGCGUGAAAUUCCCGGGCUCAACCUGGGGGCUGCGCUUGAGACGUGCGAUCUUGAGUGGGGAAGAGGGUCGUGGAAUUCCCAGUGUAGAGGUGAAAUUCGUAGAUAUUGGGAAGAACACCGGUGGCGAAGGCGGCGACCUGGUCCUUGACUGACGCUGAGGCGCGAAAGCGUGGGGAGCAAACAGG